rnacentral:rRNA from 1 species
AUUGAACGCUGGCGGCAUGCUUUACACAUGCAAGUCGAGCGGCAGCGCGGGGCAACCUGGCGGCGAGCGGAGAACGGGUGAGUAAUGAAUCGGAACGUAUUACGGAGUGGGGGAUAACGCAGCGAAUGAUGCGCUAAUACCGUAUAAGCUAUGAGGAGGAAAGUGGGGGACCGAAAGGCCUCGCGCUGCGGGAGCGGCCGAUGUACGAUUAGCUAGUGGGUGGGGUAAAGGCCCGCCAAGGCGACGAUCGGUAGCUGGUCUGAGAGGAUGAUCGGCCACACUGGGACGGGGACACGGCCCGGCAUCCUACGGGAGGCAGCAGUGGGGAAUUUUGGACAAUGGGGGCAACCCUGAUCCAGCCAUGCCGCGUGAGUGAAGAAGGCCUUCGGGUUGUAAAGCGCUUUCGGACGGAACGAAAUCGCUCGCGUGAAUAACGCGGGUGGAUGACGGUACUGUAAGAAGAAGCACCGGCUAACUACGUGCCAGCCGCCGCUGUAAUAC